GACGAACGCUGGCGGCGUGCCUAAUACAUGCAAGUAGAACGCUGAAGAGAGGAGCUUACUCUUCUUGGAUGAGUUGCGAACGGGUGAGUAACGCGUAGGUAACCUGCCUUGUAGCGGGGGAUAACUAUUGGAAACGAUAGCUAAUACCGCAUAACAAUGGAUGACACAUGUCAUUUAUUUGAAAGGGGCAAUUGCUCCACUACAAGAUGGACCUGCGUUGUAUUAGCUAGUAGGUGAGGUAAUGGCUCACCUAGGCGACGAUACAUAGCCGACCUGAGAGGGUGAUCGGCCACACUGGGACUGAGACACGGCCCAGACUCCUACGGGAGGCAGCAGUAGGGAAGCUUCGGCAAUGGGGGCAACCCUGACCGAGCAACGCCGCGUGAGGGAAGAAGGUUUUCGGAUCGUAAAGCUCUGUUGUAAGUCAAGAACGGGUGUGAGAGUGGAAAGUUCACACUGUGACGGUAGCUUACCAGAAAGGGACGGCUAACUACGUG
rnacentral:rRNA from 1 species